GACGAACGCUGGCGGCGUGCUUAACACAUGCAAGUCGAACGGAAAGGCCCUGCUUUUGUGGGGUGCUCGAGUGGCGAACGGGUGAGUAACACGUGAGUAACCUGCCCUUGACUUUGGGAUAACUUCAGGAAACUGGGGCUAAUACCGGAUAGGAGCUCCUGCUGCAUGGUGGGGGUUGGAAAGUUUCGGCGGUUGGGGAUGGACUCGCGGCUUAUCAGCUUGUUGGUGGGGUAGUGGCUUACCAAGGCUUUGACGGGUAGCCGGCCUGAGAGGGUCACCGGCCACAUUGGGACUGAGAUACGGCCCAGACUCCUACGGGAGGCAGCAGUGGGGAAUAUUGCACAAUGGGCGGAAGCCUGAUGCAGCAACGCCGCGUGCGGGAUGACGGCCUUCGGGUUGUAAACCGCUUUCGCCUGUGACGAAGCGUGAGUGACGGUAAUGGGUAAAGAAGCACCGGCUAACUACGUG
rnacentral:rRNA from 1 species